GGAUGCGAUCAUACCAGCACUAAAGCACCGGAUCCCAUCAGAACUCCGAAGUUAAGCGUGCUUGGGCGAGAGUAGUACUAGGAUGGGUGACUUCCUGGGAAGUCCUCGUGUUGCAUUCC
rnacentral:rRNA from 2 species